UGUUUUCAAGAUUAACCCAAGUGUUCUAUUUGAUGUUCUAAAUUAUGGUAUUGUAUCUCAUAGUUUGAAGAGGAAGAAAAUGAUGUAUCGGUGAUUCAAAUGAUGAUUCACGAGUCAACCAUCCAAGAUACUAAUGGAAGAAGAGAGACACAAGAAGACAAGUAAAAAAGAGGCAAGUGAAGAUUUGAGAGAGGACUGACACAAUCAGAGAUGUAAACAUGGUAUGGCAGCACGGAUAUGGUCUACUACUCUGCAGAAGUACUGGAAAUGUGCAUCAAGAUCCAUAUGACGAAAAUAGUUAAUAAAUACCAAGCAUCGACAUUCUAUAUCGACAUAUGAUGGAGUACAACCCAAUAGUUAGGGCAUUCGUCUAUCAUUAUAUUUUGUAUAUGUACAAUGCGGUCAGACCUAUUUGACUACUCAAUUAUUAAAAAUAAUUUGUCUUUGGGGAAUA